GGGUGGGGGUGACUUAACUGGUAAGCUCUGGCUGAGCAAGCCUGAAGACCUGAGUUUCAUCUCCAGAACAUUCUUUUCAAAACCAGGCAUCGUGGCUGCACUUGUAACCCUGACACUGAGGAGACAGACAGGUGAAUGAAUGCCUGCAGCCCCUUGCCAGCCAGCCUUCUCUGACUGAUGAUUCCCAGGUCUCAGUGGGAGACAGUCUCAGAGAAACAAAAUGAACAAGACUUGAGGAACAACACCUGAGGAUGACCUCUGGCCUCUGCACACAUGUGUAUAUAUGUACACCUGAACCCUCACACACAAGAACACACACAUACAUCUACCUCUACACAUAAAAACACACGUACAAAAAAUGCAUAAUUUACAAGACUGUUAAGUACUUUGCCAACUCAAAAGCAUUCUACUAAUGAUAGAUAUUAACAUCAACAACGGCAAAUAGAGGGAAACACCGCAGAGCAGACAAUAAGGACUGGGAAGUGAUGUACCACUGGGCUUCACAUCACUUGAGGCUUCAAAGGGCCAUAGGACUCCUUGAAGACUCUGCUUAGGGUCAUGUAAAGUGAAGAGAAUUGGGCUCCAUGGAAUUUUAUGGGGACCAAAUGAAAUUACAUAGUUAAAAAAAGUGGAAUCAAAUAAGUAAAGUGAAACAAAAUUCUAUUGACCUAGUAAUUGCUCGGUGAAUACUUGGUGUUGUUGUAUGCUUUAUUAACUUCUGUUUUGUACACUUUCUCUUCACCAAAAGGAACCAUCCUAAGGUUUCUAAUCUUCAGUAAGUAGCACUUCCAUCCUCAGCUUCUCUGGAUGCUUUUUUGAUAUUCUUAAUACUUUUUAGAGACCUAUUUAUAGAAAGCAAUCUCCACAAUAAUUCCAUUCAAAAGGUCAAGCAGAUGAUGCGUAUUUAAUGGUUGACCAAAACAUUCAAUUUUUUUUUUAGAUCUCACCAGAAAUUCCACUGACCUUGCCUUCAUUAAUCUUUGUCUUUCUAAAGCUCAUCUCUUGAGCAUUCUCCUAAUCUAGUCAUAGCCGCUAGAAAUGACUUACUGUGUAGCAGACCCUGUCCUAAGCAUUUUGCUGAUAGUCACUUUUAAUUCCCUUGGCAACCAUGGGCAGUAAGUAUACUACUAACCUCACCAUGCAUGGGAAAACUGAAAAUCAAGGAGUUACAUAACUAAACCAAGAUUGUGAUACUAGGAAGUUGCUAGCUGAAGAUAUGAACUCAAGCCAUGUGGUUCAAGGCCCUGAGAUCUUAACCACCACACUAACCUUCUUACUACAAUCCUUAGCUCCUUUAAGACCUUCUAGCAGCUUGCCUCUCUUUGUGACUGGAGUUACUGGAAACCCAUCAGGUCUACACUUCACACAUUAUAGACGGAACUGCAGAGUACAGCUGGAUCCAACAGACUUACCACAGCCGGUCAUUGAAAUCAAUACAAUUGGACUCUCUCUCACAUGAUGCUCAAUUGUGAUUCUCAUCAUUGAGACUGACAAGAAGGGUCUAGCCAGACGGCAUCAUGCAUAAAACUGCCUGCCACCAAAUCUGACGACUUGAGUUUGAUCCUUGGGAUGCACAUUGUGAAAGGUGAAUGGAGAGAACCAAUUCCCGUACCUGCUCUUAUCUUAAAUGGCCCCACCAGAGCCAAGUCCCAGGAGUGUGAUUGUCAGCCUGUGACACUGUGAGGAGCUGGUGAGGACUUUCAGAGCUUGGGCCUGGUGGAAAAGAAGUUAGAUCAACAGGGCAGGGCCCUGGAAAGGAUAUUGGGACAUGAAUUGCUCUGUCCCUCCUUUCCUCUUGUGUUCUGACCACCGUGAGCUCUGUACCUAGCCAAAGACUGGGAAUCCCUCUAAUAAAUGGCAGCCGUACGUGUAGGAGGCCUGGCAUGAGAUUCCUAUCAGCCUACCCUCCCCACAUUGACUGCUCCAAGAUGGUCCCAGAAUCCUUGAAGGACAAGGAUUCUGCCUCAAACAUCCUCAGCUGGAGAGAGCAGAGACUCCUCUGGCAUCCACUCUGUGUCCAAAUGUACACCCAACCCAGGACCUUCAGAGACAACCCCAAGCUGAUCUGGAUUCCUGGACACCAGCCUUUUGACUCUAUCCUGCCCUCAGUGUUCACACAAGAGACCUACAUUCACUAGGUGCAGGGAAUCAAACAAGGGAGUCACAUAACCUCAGCAGACCUCCGAAGCUGAAGUCCGCCAGAGCUCCACCCACACACUGCACACUGAAGAUCCUUUUCUCCUGUGACAUUCAGCAUUAGCCCCUGGCCCUUGAGUGGCAUUGGUGUGUGAUGGUGGUGCAGAUCCUGAGACACGCAGAGAGAUGGACAAGAGUUCCUCGUCCAUCCGGACAUCUCCUUUGUCUCUCUCCUCUUGCCACCUGGAUCUGGGGUCUCAGCUCUUUGCCUGGAACCGUGUACAUUUAAUGACCAAAUGAAAUCCAGGGCUGACUUGUAAGUCAGAAAACUGAAGAGUUUGAGAAAGGACGCUGCUUUGUGCCGCUGUCCAGAGUUCCUUGAAAAUGGGCCAUACAGGAGAGGAACAAUUCUUCAUUCAUCAUUGAUUUGGAAACAAACAGGUCUCCUGUC